rnacentral:lncRNA from 1 species
CUAUCUAAGACACAAACGUGUCAGUCACACUCACUCUAGGAAAUGAUCCAGCUGGGCCAUUAAUUAGCUCAUCCCCAUAGUCUUGGCAUAUUUCCAAUAGUACUUCUAAGGCUGCUACUUGGACACCCUCCCAAGGAGUUUGACCAUCGGACUCUACUAUCCAUCCUAGCCACUGUAGGUUAUUUGGGCAAGGGGGAACUAUAAUCUGAACAUCUACCCAAGGUAAGGAUCCUGCAUGCUCAGCCUCGGUCACUACUACAUUAAAUUUUUACAGAGGCGGGCGUUUUGCAUUUUAGGAGGCGGGCAAACAAAACACCUCCAAUGAAAGGUCAUAGUAAAUCAGGCAUUAACCGAGAUGGUUUGCCUGCCCGCCUCGGUUAAUAAAUAAAAAAAUUAAAAAAAUAGAGCCCACCAGUGAGCCCAUUUCUGAGCCCACCGACGAGCCCGGUUCUAGCGCUACCGUCACUGUGGCGCCUCCGCUCACCUCCCCGCCGGAUCUGCCACGAUCUCCCCGUCGGAUCUGCCACGAUCUCCCCGUC